rnacentral:rRNA from 1 species
UGUGAGGGCAUAUAGCCCUCGCUUUUCUGAACCGUAAGGUGGUUCAGGAACAAGGACUGGGCAAGACCGGUGCCAGCCGCCGCGGUAAUACCGGCAGUCCGAGUGAUGGCCGAUAUUAUUGGGCCUAAAGCGUCCGUAGCUUGCUGUGUAAGUCCAUUGGGAAAUCGACCAGCUCAACUGGUCGGCGUCCGGUGGAAACUACACAGCUUGGGGCCGAGAGACUCAACGGGUACGUCCGGGGUAGGAGUGAAAUCCUGUAAUCCUGGACGGACCACCAAUGGGGAAACCACGUUGAGAGACCGGACCCGACAGUGAGGGACGAAAGCCAGGGUCUCGAACCGGAUUAGAUACCCGGGUAGUCCUGGCUGUAAACAAUGCUCGCUAGGUAUGUCACGCGCCAUGAGCACGUGAUGUGCCGUAGUGAAGACGAUAAGCGAGCCGCCUGGGAAGUACGUCCGCAAGGAUGAAACUUAAAGGAAUUGGCGGGGGAGCACCACAACCGGAGGAGCCUGCGGUUUAAUUGGACUCAACGCCGGACAUCUCACCGGUCCCGACAGUAGUAAUGACGGUCAGGUUGACGACCUUACCCGACGCUACUGAGAGGAGGUGCAUGGCCGCCGUCAGCUCGUACCGUGAGGCGUCCUGUUAAGUCAGGCAACGAGCGAGACCCCACACUUCUAGUUGCCAGCAACACCCCUGCGGUGGUUGGGUACACUAGGAGGACUGCCAUUGCUAAAAUGGAGGAAGGAAUGGGCAACGGUAGGUCAGUAUGCCCCGAAUGGACCGGGCAACACGCGGGCUACAAUGGCUCUGACAGUGGGAUGCAACGCCGAGAGGCGACGCUAAUCUCCAAACGGAGUCGUAGUUCGGAUUGCGGGCUGAAACCCGCCCGCAUGAAGCUGGAUUCG